rnacentral:rRNA from 1 species
CUGGAACUAAGCAUAUCAAUAAGCGGAGGAAAAGAAACUAACAAGGAUUCCCCUAGUAACUGCGAGUGAAGCGGGAAAAGCUCAAAUUUAAAAUCUGGUGGUCUUUGGCCAUCCGAGUUGUAAUUUAGAGAAGCGUCUUCCGCGCUGGACCGUGCACAAGUCUCCUGGAAUGGAGCGUCGUAGAGGGUGAGAAUCCCGUCUUUGGCACGGACGCACCAGGGCUUUUGUGAUGCGCUCUCGAAGAGUCGAGUUGUUUGGGAAUGCAGCUCAAAAUGGGUGGUGAACUCCAUCUAAAGCUAAAUAUUGGCGAGAGACCGAUAGCGAACAAGUACCGUGAGGGAAAGAUGAAAAGCACUUUGGAAAGAGAGUGAAACAGUACGUGAAAUUGUUGAAAGGGAAACGCUUGAAGUCAGUCGCGUUGCCCGAGACUCAGCCUUGCCUUGGCUUGGUGUACUUCUCGGCCGACGGGUCAGCAUCAAUUUUGCCCCUUGGAUAAUGGCAAGGGAAAUGUGACACCUUUACGGGUGUGUUAUAGUCUCUCGUCGCAUGCAAGGGUCGGGAUUGAGGAACUCAGCACGCGCCUUUGGGCGUCGGGGUUCGCCCACGAUACGUGCUUAGGAUGUUGGCGUAAUGGCUUUAAACGACCCGUCUUGAAACACGGACCAAGGAGUCUAACAUGCCCGCGAGUGUUCGGGUGGAAAACCCGUGCGCGCAAUGAAAGUGAAAGUUGGGACCUCUGUCGUGGAGGGCACCAACGCCCGGACCAGACCUUCUGUGACGGAUCUGCGGUAGAGCGUGUAUGUUAGGACCCGAAAGAUGGUGAACUAUGCCUGAAUAGGGUGAAGCCAGAGGAAACUCUGGUGGAGGCUCGUAGCGAUUCUGACGUGCAAAUCGAUCGUCAAAUUUGGGUAUAGGGGCGAAAGACUAAUCGAACCAUCUAGUAGCUGGUUCCUGCCGAAUUCCCCUCU